AUGAGUAUCAAGCAAAUGGGCCAGAA
rnacentral:misc_RNA from 1 species